GCAGUCAAUAAAAUAGAGUUUCGACGGUUGCUAAAUGCUUAAAUAAGUGUUGGUAAAUUAGCAGCACUCUUUUAGGUUAUAGCGACACUCUUUAACUGUUACUAUAUACCUAGCGACCCCACAUAUAGCAACACUUUUUAAAAGUGUCGGUAAUUUUAGCUAGCAGCACUUUUUUGACAUGUACCUACAUUUAAAAGUGUCGCUAUAGAUCGUUUUUGUUAUAAUGUUUAGCCAAUUUAAUUCAUGAGCUUUUUGUAUGUAGAAUUGGAGAGUAGAGAGAGAGAGAGAGAGAGAAACUCUCAUUAUUGCUGCAGGUGCUUUUAGUUUCCUUGGAUGCUGCUGAAUAGAAAGCAUGCAUGAGUGUUAUUCAAUUGUUGCUUCAUGUUAAUUAUUAUUAUUAAUUAUUGUCAUCAACAACCCAUUUUUUCCAACCAAUAAUUAUUCAGUAUUAUUGCUGCAACUUAACAUAAUGUCCUCCCUAUAACUAGUUUGACAUAUCACAUAUGGGAUGUGCAUGUAUCUGAUCAAUCCUAUUGAACCAUUUCAACUGUGACAAUCUAAUAGUCCCACAUUAGAUAAAACGGUUUAUCAUUGAAAAUAUAAGGGACGUUCGACUUUAGUAGUAAUAAUUAGGUUUAAAUAUUUUGGGCCGGUGGUUUCAAUCCAACGAGUUACAUAUCAUUACUAAUGGAUCAAAUCGUCACAUCGACUCAGUAAAAUAUUAUUUUACAUUAAUGCAGC
rnacentral:lncRNA from 1 species